rnacentral:pre_miRNA from 1 species
UAUAUACUCCCUUCGUUCGGAAUUACUUGUCGCGGAAAUGGAUGUAUCUAGACGUAUUUUAGUUCUACAUACAUCCAUUUCCGAGACAAGUAAUUCCGAACGGAGGGAGUACAAU